ensembl:lncRNA
CACUUAGGAAUUUGUUCCCUCUGUCUAAGUGUUCUGGAUGCGCUCAGACCUUUAAAGAAUGGUUUGCAGAGUUGUCUUCCAUGGGAAGGAACAUCACCUCCUUGGGAAGAACAUUCCAGGAAGCUGUGCUUGUGAACACUGAUCAAGCUGGAACUGAGCUGAAAGGGGCUGUGCGGGCUGCUGUGGAGACAGCCAUCGAUGACACUGGCAGCACUGGACUCUUCGUACCCCAAUAGCAGCUUCAGGCAACAUGUGCCCGAGAUGUGACUAUAGUGUGAGGGCUACAGAGUAACCCCUUCCUGAUUAGAUUUAAGGUGUGCUCCACAGGACAGGGUAACCCCUUCCUGAUUAGAUUUAAGGUGUGCUCCACAGGACAGGGUAACCACUUCCUGAUUAGAUUUAAGGUUGUGCUCCACAGGAGAGAAUUCAUCCCUGGUACUGUAAACCUGUCAAGAUCCCAUGGCUUAGGACAGUGGCUCUCAACCUUUCAAUACAAUUCCUCCUGUUGUGGUGACCCCAGCCAUAAAAUUAUGUCAUUGCUACUUCAUUACUGUGAUUUUACUACUGUUAUGAAUGACAAUGUAGAUAGUCUGUUAUGCUACUCCCAGGAAACAAUCCCAAGGGUUGAGAACCACUGGCUUAUGAGUUCCUAGGUCCUGGGAAGAACAUAAAUGCUAAAUGGACUUUGUGGUGAUAUUUAUGAUCUAACAAAGCCCGUUAGUGUGAUCAGACUGCAAAGCUAGCCACACUAGGUGGCGCACACCUUUAAUCUCAGUGUUCGGGAGACAGAGACAGAUCUCUGUGAGUUCAAGGCCACCCUGAGCUACACGAACCUGAUCCAGCCUAAAAGAGAAACAGCUCACACAAAGAUGAGGUCAGCACUUGGAAUCCCAUGCCUUUAAUCCCAGCACUAGGGAGGGGGAUGUAAAUGGGAGGAGACAUGGCUCAGAGCAGUCUGAGGACAGGAUCCCACUUUCCAUCUGAGCCCUGGGAGAGGUGAGAACUCAAGCGACUGGCCACUUUGCUUCUCUGAUCUUCAACUUUAACCCCAACUAGAAUUCGUGCUACAGGACUUACCAGACGUUAUGUUUCUCUGAUAGCUUAGUGCUGCUUUCAACCUUAGCCAGAGGUUGCUGUCUGCUGUGAGCCUCAGUGCAGACUCAUUGGUCAAAGUGCUGAGCAUACGUGACUGCUAAGGACUCAGCCCUAAGUAGGACCUCUCUAUCAACACCCCCAGGUCGGGAAAUAUGAGAGAGGGAGCAGAAAGAGAGGAAGAGCUGGCGGAUGGGAGAGUGCUUGUGUCUGUCGACACAAGACAUAGCGGUUGCAGUCAUGGACAAAACCCCCCACAAGGUCAAGCCCAAAAGAUGAGUUAACAUUCUAGCCAGCAGCACUAAGUAAACUCAGUGGGCUGCCAAAAGGGGGGGGGACAUGUUAAAGGGUGUCAGAGGAAGUAGGAGGGAGAAUCUGGGGUGGCUAAGAUCAAGAUAGGCUGAAUACACAGAUGAAGUUGUCACAGAACAGAAAAAAGCAGCCAGUUGUGUCACUCAGUGGUGACAUGAAGCUCGUGCUUGACCUAUGCAAGGUGCUGGCUGGGUCUCUAGCAUGAAAAGCAUAAAGGACACGGCUGGCUCAGCAAGUAGGAACACAUGCUGCUCUUGCAGAAGACAUGGGUUCAGUUGUCAGCAUCCACGUAGUGGCUCACAACCAUCUAACUCUAGUCGCAGAGACUCUUGGCACCUCUUCUGGCAUCAGUGACACUGUGGUAUGCCGAGACACGGGAAAACAUCAUACA